CUCUACUCUUUUGAAUGUUAAGGUCAGAAGAACACAGAGCUAACCUGUUGAUAAAAUAGAAUAAAUAUCUUUAUUUGAACACUUUAAACAGUGGACAACCUGUACAUGGAGAGUAAACCAGGAGGGGAACAUAUGGGCUUUUUGUAAAUAUUUUGGAAAGAAGCACAGACACCCUUUGCCUCACAAUGUCAGGAACUGCAAGGGGAAAACAACCAGAAGCAAGAAGGAGGCCCCGCUACCUACUGUAAUGCCAUGGCAGGCUGGCAAGGAAAUUAAGGUCAAGGCAGCAGAAACUGAGAGCUCCAGCAACUCUGCACACAGCAGGCAGCGCUACAUCAGCCCAAACAUAGAUUUCCUUUCUAGAAUGACAAAACAUUGGAAUGGUGGCAAACAGAAACCUGGGCAGAACUGUUAUACAUGUCAUGGUAUCUUGAGCAAUGAAUUCUUUCUGUUAAUAUUAACUGCAAGGUGCGGCUGAAAAACAAACCAUUCCAAGGUAUCCUUCUUAUUUUGUAUUGGGAAGGAUUUACUGGUAAAGCAUUACUAAACACUGAAAAUGAAAAAGCAGAAGCCUUGGAGCCCUGAAAACUUUUUUUCUUUCGCUUGGAGAUGAAAGAAGUAAGCACCAUUGAAAAUCAAGCUCAAGAUAUGCAAAUACAGACAAGAAAAGUGAAAGAACAUUAAAAGGAGAAAGGAAGAAGUGUAAUCCUGUGUGAUGUGGUAAGAUGUAGUUCUCAUUGUUUUGUUGUCAAGAUGAAAACCAAACCAUAUACCCUGGCUCCUUGAUCCGUUUACCACUUUAAGCAAACCAUACAAUUGCCUUGAGAAUCCUUCUCCAAGUAGGGCUCCAGGAACAGUGAUCAAUGAAGGCAAUGGAUAUUACUCUCAUUGGUAAGCAGAAAAUACAUGUUAAUGUGCCUGUUACAAGGCUCUGUUGGGUCAGAGUAAUUUUGACAGGUUGAACUGUGGAUAAAAUUCUCCAUUUGCAAGGAAAUCUCAUAG